AGAGAUUCCGAUCACAUCCAUGUAUGGGAAAUCAUAGGUGAGGAACUCAAUAACAUUAUGCACACCUUUGGUUACCAUGUUUAUCCCCAUAGCACCACCAGUGUUACAACUGAACCUUACAUAGGCUUUUUCCCUGCAAUGUACAGUGUACACUUUGUAGCAUCUCGUAAAUCUACUUGACAUGCCCCACAAAAUCUCUAUUUCAUCAGAAAAAGUUUUAAUCUUGAAUCAAACCACUCCACAAACAUGAAAAAAAUUUACAUCUUGGUUGUUGAAAACGACAGCCAAAAGUUCACAUCUAUGUGAAAUUUUUGGAUUGAGAACACCAAUUAGAUAAAUUUGGGAAGCAAAUAUUGAGGCUGCCAUGGUUUGUUGUUUAAUCUUUGUAUUCUUAAUAAUUGUUGAUGGGUUUAUUGUCGACGACAUGUUAUUGGCCCUAACCUAUUGAGAACGAAAAUCAUAUCCAAUUUCUUAGUUCUAAUCUAUCAGCAAGCAAAACAAAAUAAAAUUGUUCAUCUUGUCUAUGUGAUUAAGAAAAAAGGAUUGGGAUUUACAAGGUAAAAAUUUAACAUGUUUGACGUUCCCAGAAUCUUCUAACCAAAUCUUACCUAUAUGAUUCUUCUAUUAACAAUUUUUAUUUCUUUGUUGAUGCUUCUUCAUCGACAUCAACCAUCAUCUCCUCCGACAGUCUAUCAAGUGAAUUAGCUUUUCCCACAAUUUUUGGGUUCUAACCUUUGCUUAUAUAAGUUGAAGAACAUACGAGAAUAUAUGCCUAAGAUUUGCCAAUUGUUGACAUAUAUUUAGCUUGUCAAUCACUUAUACAAUUAAAAUUGUCAUAAGGCAUUAAACAUUAAUCCUAUCAAUACAUUCGUCCUUGACUUUAAAACAUUGUAAAGGUAUAGGCAAUAUUUAGGAAUCACCCUAAUAUCAUUGCCAUAUAUAAAGAUUACUGUUCAGUUGAAUUAUUUCAUAUAGUUAAUACUAUAUAUAUGCUUUUCUAAAAUAAAAGAUGGCAACUUAGACUAUAUUAACGGGAUGAAUACAUAAUAUAAACUAUAUUCAUUCUUACUUUUCUUGUAUACAUCUGUGUCAGAUAGUAAACCAAUUUUUAUUCGGUAUGUUUAAUGGUUAACCACAUUGUUCGAAUUACAAUUCGGUUAGUGAUAACCGUUUGUGAUAACCGUUUGUCAAAUUUAUAAAUGUGACAUAUUGUAUUGUUUACUGCAUUUUUGUCUAACUUUUCUGAAUAUAAUGUUCCAUUGAUUUUAUGUGUUUACAUAAAAUGGUUUAAUGUCUUUUAUGGUCUCAACAGGUUCUGAUAUCAUUGCAUAGAGUAUGUAAAAAAAUGUUUACAAUAGUUUUUAUAUACUCAUAUUUUAGUCUAUCUACGGUUUAGAUAGAUGCUCUUUUUAUAAUCUCAUAUGGAUAUGUUGCUUUAACUACAUGAGAAAGAGGACGAGAAAGUAUGGCAAAUAUAGAGUUUACGUGUUUAUAACGUGCGCAAUGUUGGAUUUAUUAGAAAAUAUAGUAAAAUUUAAUGUUUAAUAUGUAAUUUUGAUGUAAAUGGGAAAACGACAAUAGUAGAUUGAAUAUUAGUAACAUAUUUUGUAAAUAGUGUAGUACUGAAAGGGGCGUUAAUUAUUUAGGUUGAGAAUCAUUGUGAGAUUGAAAACUACGCGUGGCAUGGAUGUAAAUAAAUUAAAAAUUCAAUGUUACUCCCCCAAAAUGUAAAGAGAUUUUUUUUAUCAAGACCAACAAUCCAACCAAUUUAAUUUUCUUUGAAAAAUAUAUACACAAUCAAAUCUAACAAAUGUUUCCAAUAAUAAAUUUUUUAUAAAGCUAUAAAUAGAGAUUGUUCAUAGUAAUCAGAGGCAUCAAAAAGAAACAAACAUAGAAGAUACACAAAACUAAAAAAAAAAGAUGGAGAAGAAGUGUAUAUCUAUGUUGAUGAUUAUGUUCAUUGCAUUGACGAUGAUGCCAUUACAAGCAAUGAGUGAAUCAUAUGAAGCUUGUUAUGAUAGGUGCAUUUCUUCGUGCCAGAUAUUUUUUGAAGGAGUUGAUAAAUGCAUUCACGAUUGUGUUGGUACCAAAUGUCAUAAAACACAUGUACUCCCUCGGAUGGCGGCUAAAGGGAUGUUUCAAGAAAUUCAUACAUAGAGAGAAAUAUGUUAUUAAACACACAUGAUAUUUAAGUUUACUACUCUUUGGUUUAUAUAAUUUUGAAUAAUAGAAUUCCUUCAUCAUUUAUAAAAUUCAACUGUUUUCACAACAUCUUCUACUGCACAUUUUUAAUUGUUGUCUUGUAUCAUAGAUCUUAUUGGUUUGUAGUCUUGCUAAAUUUACAUAUGGGCAUGUACCAUUUAGAGUUUUAGGCCAUCCAAAUAUUAGAUAAUUCAUUGCACCCAAUCCAAGAAUAUAAAAGGCUAAGAUUUUGAUUGGUAGAAUGCGACUUUAUUUUUGUUGCUUUAGAAAGAGGCUAUAAGUUUUUGUGUUGUAGCUGUAAUUUCUAUUGCCAUAUUUUCUAAUUUAACUUUGAAGUUGUAACUUUUAAUUAUUUAUUUAAAGAAUAAUUUAUAAAUUGAAGUUGUAUAAAGCACUCAGAUCAGUUACCAAUAACCCUUUAAAAAUGCGAAAAUUGUUUUAUUUUAUGUGAUAUUGGGAACCUUCUCUAUUAAAGAGAAGUACAAAUAAUCUAAUGUAUCAAAAACAUAGGAAGACCAUUUCAUUAAACAUAAUAUAACAUAUUUGACUAUUUACAUUAAUCAAUCAAAUAUAUGUUAUUUAAAAAAAUAUCAAUAAGAAUAAUAAUAAAAAUCAAUUUUAAGUAUAAAUUUAAUUUUUAUUAUAAUUGCAAUAAAAUCUGAUUGAGAAAGAAUCUAACAAGAUCUUACAAAAAUCUUGAAUAUUUUGAAUAAAUUAAUUUGUUAGUUAAUUUCGUAAUUAAUAAUAUAAUAUUAUUAUAAAUUAAUGAUUUUUGUCAACUAUUAUAAAUUAAUGAUAAUUAGAAUAAAUUUUUUACACUGUAUUUUUAAAAAGUUAUAAAUAUAAAAUUUAUAUUUUUAAAUGUAAUAUUAGAACAUAAACUAUCCUAGCAAGUCUCAUUUCUGCAAUAUAAAUAAAUAAAUUUUAAAAAUGUAUUGUUUGCAAACUGUAUAAAAGUUAUAAAAAUAUUUUAUACAAUAUUUUCUAUUCGAUCAUUUCAGAUUCUGAAUUCACUGUACCAAACUGGAAAUUAUAUUAAUAUGUAUUGAAUAAGAAAUUCAUUAUAUAUUUAGUGUUGAAUAAGAAAUUUAAACCAAAGAGAUUAUAGAUAUAUAACACUAGUAUGUAAAUCAUAUAUUUAAAAUGUUCACAAAAAUAUUAAAAUCAUACAUUUAUAAAAUAAAAAUAAUACUCGUAUGGACGUUUGGGUCAAACUCUAUUAUAUUUGAUUUCAUCACUCACUGUGCAUAUCUUCUAUCGAUAUUCAGCUACGAAAAUGACAGUUUGCCUCAAGAAUAUCAUGUCUUUCUAUAUACAUUUAAUCAUCGAAAAGUCUUUCCUAGUUUACGCCAUCUCAUUCAUUAUAAAUCAGUUUACCAAUAAUUGUUCUGAACACUUUGUACAAAUAUUUAUAUUGAGUGAAAAUAUAUUCAUACAUGAGAAUACAAACUCCCUUUUUAUGAGAAUACAAACUCUUUAAGGGCACACAAUAUUCAAAAGAACCAAACUCAAGUUCAAAAGUAUAUUUACACUAUGAAUUUAAGCCAGCUAGGCUAACUCCAGUGAAAUACUAAAACACUAAAUUUGGUGAAAUUUCAUUUCCGAUAGGACACCAAAAAUUACACUAUUCCAACUAAUUUGGUGUAGAGUGAAUAGUAUUACACCAAAUUUGGUGUAACACUAUUCACCACACUAAGUAUGUAAUAUACAUAUUUAUUAUGUUUCAUUUACUAACAUAAAUCAAUUAUUAUUAUUAAUUAGUUCAAAUUUGUAACUAAACAAAAAUAUAUUACGUUAUUUGUAAUUAAAAUUAUUUUUACAUAAUUAAAAUAUUUUUUAUUUGCAAGUAAAAAUCACUAAUUGAUAAUUCUCAUUUUUAUAUUGUAAACAAAAUAUCUUAUAACUUUUAUAUCUUAUUUUAUUUUCAAGUAAUAAAUCACUAAAUGAUUAUCAUUUACUUUAUAUUGUAAUAUAUUUAUACUUUAAAAAUAGAUUAUAAUCUUCAUUUAAGUUAUAUUUAAUCAGUAAUGAAAAAUUAAUAAAUUUGUUUUUAAAAAAUAACAACUUAUAAUAUGCAGUUAUUGUAAAGUUGGAUUUAAUAGUAAGUAAUUAAAAUUUUAUAUAAUACUAUUAAACUAGGCAAAGGCAUGCGCCUUGCACAUGGUGAAUUUAAAAGAAAAUUACUUAAGAAAUAUCAUAUGGAAAAAUAAAAUUUAUAUUCUUGAUCGAAUAAAUAUUUUGGCCCUUAAACAAUUUUUUAAUUUUUUUUUGUCAAUUACGUAAUUGUUUAGUGAUGAGCUGAUCUGAUUUUAAAAAAUAUUUUUGGUCAAAAAAUCAUUUAUCGCAUAAGAACCUAAUGUUUUGGCCAGGAAUCUCAGGACUGCUAUUUGGUUACAAUGAAACUAUGGCAGCUCGGUUUUAUAUCAUGAUUUAGCAAUUUAAAAGUUAAUUAUGGUUAUGAGAACUUUACAUUCAUUUGUCAAUCCUAUCUAUCUUCAAUAUUUUUCUCAUUUUUGUGUUGUUUUUUUUAUUUUGGUUAUUGUUUGAUAUAAAUAUUGAUUUUUGAGUUUAUUUUUAUUUUGUUAUUUUGUUUUGGCCUGAGAUUUAGAAAAUGUUUAAGAUUUAAAUAUUAAAGAGAUACAUACUUAGGUUAAGAUCUGCGCCUUGAGCAAAAUGAAUAACUUAUAUUUGUUACUUAUUUUAUGUCUUUUACAUAUUAUGAAAUAAUAAAAUAAUAAUUAUAUAUUAAAUAGCUAAGAAAUCAUUUACUAUUAUGUAGUAAAUUGGCGUGCACAUAUAAAUCAAAUGAUCGCUCUUGUUUACUCGCAAUUAUUUUAGGAUAAAUAACUCGAAACAAUCAAUAUUAUCUACCAUAUAUGACAUAUAAGUAAAUUUAAAUGAUAUUAACAUAUAUAUAUAUUAUACUUUUAAUAUGGAUAUUUAUUAAAUGAGGUUUCUACUCAUAUGAUUUUAUGAUUAUUUGCAUAUUUGUGUAACGAAUUUAACAUGAACGAAUCUUUUUUUUUAAUUUUGAAUGUUUAGUGGUUUUAAUUUUGAAUGUUUAGUGAUAAUGUUUUCAUAGGAGUUUUUUUUGUAAACGCCAAUUGUUGGAGCGUUGUGGUAUUUGCUUGCUAGGAACGCAAUAAUGAUUGCUCAAGUAAGACUCUUAUGAUGAUGGAAGUUCUUAACUCUCUAGGGCUAGAUGACUUGUGUUCAGACGUGAUGUUGAUGAUUCUCGUCAUAUACACAAAGUAUGCUUUUGUACUCAUUGUCCCCUAAAUUGACCAUGCUUUUUGAAUUUUCCCAUGGUUUUCAUACAACUGCAUCAUCACUAUCAUAACUAAUGAAAACCAUAUCGUGCUACCAUGGUGCUUAAUCUAACUCAGCUGCUUUCUUGAAGUCUCAUUGGUCUGAUUUACUCGCAAGGAUUACCAUACAUAUAAGUUUUAUCGCUAAACAGGUAAAUAUCAUAUGAUAUGGGAAGGAGAAGCAGAUUCAAGCUUUUUUAUGGUUUGUAUUAUAUACAUCUUAUUUGCAUUUAUCUCUUGUAUUUUUUUUAUUACUGUUAAUUAUGUGAUUUGAAAAGGUUUUGUCUCAAAAUUACUUUUUGGAUAGAACACAAUUUUUAAAAGUUAAUAUUCUACAUAUUUUCUAUUUUUAAAUAUAGCUUUUAAUUUCUAUGUGCAUAUUCUGUAUUAUAAUACUUUUUUCCUUUUUUCUUGAAAAUUAUUAUUUUUAAUAUUAAACCGACUAAAAAAUAAUGGAAAAAAUACCUUAAUUUGAUUUUUUGGUGUUGUUCUUUUUCUUGGGGAACUCUACAUAAAUCACUCUUUUAAUAUUUUGAUAUUACCUUUGUGUAGUCUUAUGUAUCUGAUAUUUUUAUAUGUAAAGAUUCUGAUGUUGAACUAAUAUUUUUGUAUAUAAAGAUUCUGUUGUAAAAUCUGGUUCAUAUAGCGAGUAAUCAUUUUUCUUACUGUUGUUGUAUAGGAGUUUUUUCUUGACUCUUAUAUAUCUCAUCUAUUAGAAUAGAAGUCAUGAUUUAUUUCAUGUUAUUUUGUUUGGAUCAUUCUUUAUAACCUAUAUCAAUAUAAUUUGAUUAGAAUAUCUUUUAAUAUUUAUCCUUUAUUUGAAAUGAAAAUGAGUAUUUUAAAAAAAAUUGUUAACAAAUUUUUUUUAUUUUUUUUUGAAUCUUGUUAAAACUUUUUUCCGGAAGUAAUUAAUUUCACUUCUAAAUAUUAUAAAAUAUAAAUACAUAUUAAAACUAAUUUAUUCUUUUUAUAACAAUAAAUAAAAUUAUAUUAAAAUUAAUUAUAUUUUUAUGAUAAUAACAAUUUGAAUUGAAUAAUUUUCAAAAAAAAAACAUUUUAGAAAUAGUUUUAAAAUAUUUCGUUAUAUUCAUUUCUCUUGAAAUAUAAAAUAAAAAUAUUCUAAUUAAAAUGUGUAGAAUAAUAAAUAACGACCAUAAAUUUUAUCAAAAGACAAAUGAGCUAUAUUAUAAUAAAAUGUUGCUUAAAAAUUGACAGUGGUAUGAGCAAAUAAUAACAUAUAAAAAAUAAAAGCAUAACUAUUCUGAAAUUAAGUUCAUUGGAAAAUAAAAACAUAUGUACGAAUGUGAUUAGUUUUUGAUUAGUUUUUUGUUUAACAUUUCUUUUAUUUUAAACUGAAUAAACAAAAACAAAUUUGAGACUUCAAAAAUUUCAUCCUCCAAUUUUGAUGUGUGUUGGUCUAUGAUAAAAUUAUCAAUUUGCUCUUCAUUGAUUUUCUCUGUUUAUUUUUUGUUAUUAAUUUAUAUGCAAAGUGUAAUUAUUUUAAAUACUUGUAAUACUUUUUGUCGAUAAAUUGAGAUCAGUCCCAGUUUUUUUGUUACCGUUUUUUGAAAUCUUGCUUAAUGGUAAAUCUAGCAUAUGUCCAUUCCAAACUCAUUGUUGAAAAUCUAAAAUAUGUUAUGAACAACCAUUACAGUGGAAACAAAAGGAUCAAAGAUCAUUACUACACAGUUAAGAAACAUAAGCUUCUACAAAUUGGAGAAACUGUGAUUUAGAAAUACUAAUUAUAACUCCUCAAAUAUCCCCUAAGCUGUUUGACAACGGUUUGAUCCAUGCUAGGUUAACUUAAGCCGCAAGCCUAUGUUGUACAAGUAAUUAAGUGUUGCAGCCUCGUUGUUUUGCACUAUCUACCAGGAAAAAAAACUGUCCACGAUUGUUCCCGGUAGAAUUAAAAUCACCGCCCAAUUCUUCACCAUAACUUUCCGUAGAAAGCAGCUUGACUCUAUUAGCAUGUUCAAUUAACUAAUCAUUGUAUCCUGGAGAAGAAGUGAGUCCGCCAUUCCUUCGCUCGUCGUUUCUUGUACAAAAUCUUCGUUCUUCCUUUAACUUAUUAUGCAUCAUGUGGUACGUAGAAUAGUAAUCCAGCCUCUCAAAUGUCAAUUGGUUUUCUCCAGCAGGUGCGUGUCCUUGUGGUAUGUAGAAUAGUAAUCAUGCCUUUCAAUUGGUCUUCUCCGGCCAACCAAAGACUGACAUCACAUGUUUCUUACACAUGUGGUUAUGACACAAAAAAAAUCAAUCAUAAGAUGAACUAUGAAGACUUUCCCUUAUACAAACAAUGUAAAGCAUAUGAAAAUCAGAGAGUAAGACCUGGGAGCUGAAGGUACAAUUCUAACACUGUUCCACAGUCCAUUUCCAAGACUGCUAAGAAACUCAGCUCAACCAUUUAUUUGACAUACGUAACCA